GGGAAGUCCUCGUGUUGCACCCCUCCUUUUUGGCCGCUUCUCCAUCCGGCAGCCUCUGUCUUCCUUUCUUCUUUUUCUCUCCCCCGCCUCGCUUUCCUCCCCCGCUACCGAUAGGCGGGGUAGAGGCCGAAGGCUACUAGUCUUGUUCAGAAUGUCGUUUCGCUUCAAGAAACGAAAGGUCGACAGCUAAUUCCACCAAGAAUUUGGUUAUGAACAAUAAAAACCUAUUUUAAAAAAAACAAUUAAAUACCAACCAAAGCAAAUAAAAUCCAACGGUCUAAUCGCAGGUUACGACCCUAUUGAGCCGCUGCCCCUUCGCGGUGGUGCCUGAACCACCGGGGAGCCUCCCAUCACUCCCCGAUCUUCCUCUUAGAAGCGCUUAUAGCAAUUGCGCGUGCAUAGAUUAACGGGUGCGAUCAUACCAGCAC
rnacentral:rRNA from 1 species